rnacentral:rRNA from 1 species
CCUACGGGUGGCAGCAGUGAGGAAUAUUGGUCAAUGGGCGAGAGCCUGAACCAGCCAAGUCGCGUGAGGGAGUACUGCCCUAUGGGUUGUAAACCUCUUUUGUCGGGGAGCAAAAGCCGGACGUGUCCGGCUGUGAGAGUACCCGAAGAAAAAGCAUCGGCUAACUCCGUGCCAGCAGCCGCGGAAAUACGGAGGAUGCGAGCGUUAUCCGGAUUUAUUGGGUUUAAAGGGUGCGCAGGCGGAUUUUUAAGUCAGCGGUAAAAUCGUGGGGCUCAACCCCAUCCAGCCGGUGAAACUGGGGAUCUAGAGUGUGCGAGAGGUAUGCAGAAUGCGUGGUGUAGCGGUGAAAUGCAUAGAUAUCACGCAGAACCCCGAUUGCGAAGGCAGCAUACCGGUGCACAACUGACGCUCAGGCACGAAAGCGUGGGUAUCGAACAGGAUUAGAUACCCGGGUAGUC